UACGUAGGUGGCAAGCGUUGUCCGGAUUUACUGGGCGUAAAGAGCGCGCAGGCGGUCGUUCAAGUCGCGUGUGAAAGCCCCCGGCUCAACUGGGGAGGGUCACGCGAUACUGAUCGACUCGAAGGCAGGAGAGGGAAGUAGAAUUCCCGGUGUAGCGGUGAAAUGCGUAGAUAUCGUAAGGAAGACCAGUGGCGAAGGCGGGUCUCUGGACAGUUCCUGACGCUGAGGCACGAAGGUCAGGGGAGCAAACGGG
rnacentral:rRNA from 1 species